rnacentral:rRNA from 1 species
GGGUUGUGAGGUUAAGCGACUAAGCGUACACGGUGGAUGCCCUGGCAGUCAGAGGCGAUGAAGGGCGUGCUAAUCUGCGAUAAGCGCCGGUAAGGUGAUAUGAACCGUUAUAACCGGCGAUACCCGAAUGGGGAAACCCAGUGUGAUUCGUCACACUAUCAUUAACUGAAUCCAUAGGUUAAUGAGGCGAACCGGGGGAACUGAAACAUCUAAGUACCCCGAGGAAAAGAAAUCAACCGAGAUUCCCCCAGUAGCGGCGAGCGAACGGGGAGGAGCCCAGAGCCUGAAUCAGCAUGUGUGUUAGUGGAAGCGUCUGGAAAGGCGCGCGAUACAGGGUGACAGCCCCGUACACAAAAGCGCAUGUGCUGUGAGCUCGAUGAGUAGGGCGGGACACGUGGUAUCCUGUCUGAAUAUGGGGGGACCAUCCUCCAAGGCUAAAUACUCCUGACUGACCGAUAGUGAACCAGUACCGUGAGGGAAAGGCGAAAAGAACCCCGGCGAGGGGAGUGAAAAAGAACCUGAAACCGUGUACGUACAAGCAGUGGGAGCCCCACCACCAAAGCAUUCUCUGGUGUUGAAGGCCCUGCAAAGCAGCAUCGCGGUGGCGGAGCGUCGUUUGCGACGCCCAACACACAAAACAAGCGGUGAAUGCUUUGUGGUGGGGUGACUGCGUACCUUUUGUAUAAUGGGUCAGCGACUUAUAUUCUGUAGCAAGGUUAACCGAAUAGGGGAGCCGGAGGGAAACCGAGUCUUAAUUGGGCGUUAAGUUGCAGGGUAUAGACCCGAAACCCGGUGAUCUAGCCAUGGGCAGGUUGAAGGUUGGGUAACACUAACUGGAGGACCGAACCGACUAAUGUUGAAAAAUUAGCGGAUGACCUGUGGCUGGGGGUGAAAGGCCAAUCAAACCGGGAGAUAGCUGGUUCUCCCCGAAAGCUAUUUAGGUAGCGCCUCGUGAAUUCAUCUCCGGGGGUAGAGCACUGUUUCGGCUAGGGGGCCAUCCCGGCUUACCAACCCGAUGCAAACUGCGAAUACCGGAGAAUGUUAUCACGGGAGACACACGGCGGGUGCUAACGUCCGUCGUGAAGAGGGAAACAACCCAGACCGCCAGCUAAGGUCCCAAAGUCAUGGUUAAGUGGGAAACGAUGUGGGAAGGCCCAGACAGCCAGGAUGUUGGCUUAGAAGCAGCCAUCAUUUAAAGAAAGCGUAAUAGCUCACUGGUCGAGUCGGCCUGCGCGGAAGAUGUAACGGGGCUAAACCAUGCACCGAAGCUGCGGCAGCGAACGUAUCACUUAAAGCGAUUCAGCGGGUUACGAUUGACGGAGCGAAGCGACGUCAAAGCGUAUACAAAGUCGAGUCGGUUUAAGGAUACGUUCGUUGGGUAGGGGAGCGUUCUGUAAGCCCGUGAAGGUGGCCUGUGAGGGUUGCUGGAGGUAUCAGAAGUGCGAAUGCUGACAUAAGUAACGAUAAAGCGGGUGAAAAGCCCGCUCGCCGGAAGACCAAGGGUUCCUGUCCAACGUUAAUCGGGGCAGGGUGAGUCGACCCCUAAGGCGAGGCCGAAAGGCGUAGUCGAUGGGAAACGGGUUAAUAUUCCCGUACUUGGUGUUACUGCGAAGGGGGGACGGAGAAGGCUAUGUUGGCCGGGCGACGGUUGUCCCGGUUUAAGCGUGUAGGUGUGUGUUCCAGGUAAAUCCGGUUCACUUUAACACUGAGGCGUGAUGACGAGGCACUACGGUGCUGAAGCAACAAAUGCCCUGCUUCCAGGAAAAGCCUCUAAGCAUCAGGUAACAUCAAAUCGUACCCCAAACCGACACAGGUGGUCAGGUAGAGAAUACCAAGGCGCUUGAGAGAACUCGGGUGAAGGAACUAGGCAAAAUGGUGCCGUAACUUCGGGAGAAGGCACGCUGACACGUAGGUGAAGUGAUUUACUCACGGAGCUGAAGUCAGUCGAAGAUACCAGCUGGCUGCAACUGUUUAUUAAAAACACAGCACUGUGCAAACACGAAAGUGGACGUAUACGGUGUGACGCCUGCCCGGUGCCGGAAGGUUAAUUGAUGGGGUCAGCGCAAGCGAAGCUCCUGAUCGAAGCCCCGGUAAACGGCGGCCGUAACUAUAACGGUCCUAAGGUAGCGAAAUUCCUUGUCGGGUAAGUUCCGACCUGCACGAAUGGCGUAAUGAUGGCCAGGCUGUCUCCACCCGAGACUCAGUGAAAUUGAACUCGCUGUGAAGAUGCAGUGUACCCGCGGCAAGACGGAAAGACCCCGUGAACCUUUACUAUAGCUUGACACUGAACAUUGAGCCUUGAUGUGUAGGAUAGGUGGGAGGCUUUGAAGUGUGGACGCCAGUCUGCAUGGAGCCGACCUUGAAAUACCACCCUUUAAUGUUUGAUGUUCUAACGUGGACCCGUAAUCCGGGUUGCGGACAGUGUCUGGUGGGUAGUUUGACUGGGGCGGUCUCCUCCUAAAGAGUAACGGAGGAGCACGAAGGUUGGCUAAUCCUGGUCGGACAUCAGGAGGUUAGUGCAAUGGCAUAAGCCAGCUUGACUGCGAGCGUGACGGCGCGAGCAGGUGCGAAAGCAGGUCAUAGUGAUCCGGUGGUUCUGAAUGGAAGGGCCAUCGCUCAACGGAUAAAAGGUACUCCGGGGAUAACAGGCUGAUACCGCCCAAGAGUUCAUAUCGACGGCGGUGUUUGGCACCUCGAUGUCGGCUCAUCACAUCCUGGGGCUGAAGUAGGUCCCAAGGGUAUGGCUGUUCGCCAUUUAAAGUGGUACGCGAGCUGGGUUUAGAACGUCGUGAGACAGUUCGGUCCCUAUCUGCCGUGGGCGCUGGAGAACUGAGGGGGGCUGCUCCUAGUACGAGAGGACCGGAGUGGACGCAUCACUGGUGUUCGGGUUGUCAUGCCAAUGGCACUGCCCGGUAGCUAAAUGCGGAAGAGAUAAGUGCUGAAAGCAUCUAAGCACGAAACUUGCCCCGAGAUGAGUUCUCCCUGAGACUUAGAGUCUCCUGAAGGAACGUUGAAGACGACGACGUUGAUAGGCCGGGUGUGUAAGCGCAGCGAUGCGUUGAGCUAACCGGUACUAAUGAACCGUGAGGCUUAACCUUACAACGCCGAAG